UUCUGACGUUGGUAAGCGGCAUGGGCUUCGGGCACACAUCGUCGGCCUGCACUGCCGCCUUCGCAUACCCACGUUUCUCUCCCCACUUUGCCUGGUUUCCUCCAGAAAAAAGAAACAAUUCAUCUACACCUCGGACUAGAUUUGUUUGGCAGCCGGAGAUUUGCAACAAAAAAGGGAGACGAAGAGGAUAGGGUGAAAUCGGCGGCACCGCCGCCGCCGCUACGGGGCACGAGCAUGGAGGCGGCCGGGAUGGUGUGGUGCCGCCGCCACUACGGGACACAAGCACGGAGGCGGCUGGGAUAGUGUCGUGAGGGAGUUGGGAGAGGAACAGGGGGAGACGAUGGCGGCCUGAGGGUGCGGUGCUGGGCGCCAUGGGGUUCAUCAUCCCGCUGGCCUUAAGUGUCGCCGCUACGGGCACGAGCAUGGAGAUGGCCUGGAUGGUGUGGUUCCGCCGCCGCUACGGGACACGAGCACGGAGGCGGCUGGGAUAGUGUGCUUAGGGAGUUGGGAGAGGAACAGGGGGAGACGAUGGCGGCCUGAGGGGGCGGCGCUGGGCGCCAUGGGGUUCAACAUCUCGCCGGCCUUGACUCGCGCACGUCUCGUUCCGCUCAGGGCACAUCCUGCCUCAGCAGCCACACCUGUCCCUCCAAGCACAGAGCUUGCUGCCCCCACCCCCGUACAAUGAAUGAGCAUGCCAAGGAGAGGAGCUCCCUGCGUAUGGGAGACCAGCCGCUCCCCAAUCUUCAGAUCUGACCAACGUGGGAGGAAUUGUUGGAGAACAACCAAAUCCAAAUGCCUCACCGAUGAGCACCAUCAUUACCUGAAGCUUGGAGAGUAUUACUAAUUGCUUUCUAUUCAUUAUUGCCUGAAGCGGGAGAACAAUUUAGUUAUUUCUCCGAAGUUUGCAAUGGAUCAACCUUGAAGACACUCGGAACAUUUACUUAGAGUGAAGACUCUCGCGGCGCAAUUGCCACGGCCCCGACCUCGCCAAUUGUUGACCUCGCUGGCUUGACAGCGUCCUUUGUGAUUCUGAACAUAGGUGCUACUCUCCUGGACACCGCCGACUCAGGUCCUACUCUCCUAGACGCCGCCAACUCAGGUGCCAUCUCCGUCCAAGAUUUCAUAAUAAUUUUUUAUGCAUCAAGACAUUCUUAUGUCCACAUGUAGCUUCUAUCAGGUUAUAUCUACAUGUAGCAUUGGAGAAUAUUAUGCUGAGUGGGCCAUAUCGGUGUUUGUCUGCACGCAUUAUUAUAUCCUCUUCUUAUCUCCCCCGCUUGUGCCACCGGAGAAUAUCAAGGAUGUGGCGUCGGCACUGAGCUGCCACUGGUAGGCAAGGGCAUGUGGCCUGGUUGUGAACGAUGAGAUUGGGGUCGGCACACACCAAAGCGACACACAUAGGCAGAGUUAUAUAAAAAAUAAGAAAUCCAUCUAAUUCUACUUGACAACCUUCCAACACGAGGUAACAUCAUUUUUGGCAUGGGUAUAUCUUAUAUCUACUAAAUAUCACUUCUAGAUAUUGGUGUUACGUACCAAGUGUAUACAUCUAUAUUGCCAAUGCUUCUGCGCUUUUGAUAAUUAGUCAAUAUUUUCAUGUAUUUGUUACAACAAUAUGGUGUUAGCAAGCGUAUUGUCUUGUGAAAAAUUGAUGAUUGCAUCUGCACUUCGUAUCUAAUUGUGUUAUUUCAGAGCUAAUAUUUUUACUAAUUAUUCUAUUCUUUCCACUUCUUGUAUAAACAGACCAGGACCAGUAUUCUGAACCUCAUACCAUUAAGGUAAUCAACUAAUUUUUUUAUAGAUGCACUAACUGAUUGCUAAUUUCAGCUUUGUUCUUCAUUACUGUAGGGCAUAUCUGUAUUCUAAAGAAAAUUCGUACACCUGGUAAUUCUUUCUUGACAUGGCUAUUCCAUCGAGGUUUAAUCCUAUGAUACACAACUAAUAGUUUGUUGGUAUGCAUAACUAUCUUGCCAAAGGUAUUGCCUGUGUAUAUCACUUUGUAGUUGAAAGUGUUUGCUGCAUCAUUAUGAGCAUCAUGUUUGCCUUUUUGUGGAAACAUAGUGUAGAACUCUUCUUGCUACUAUCGUCAACUCUCAACGAGUCAGUGAUGGACAAGAUUAUUAUUCAUGUAUUUGAACAAUUGAUUCAGGGUCUAUUCAUAGAUGUGUUAAUUUGUUUUUGUAUGACUCCUUUGUUCCAUCAAUGUUUUUUACAUCCAAAUGAACUACACUAUUCUUAUACAAUCAAAUUAGAAUAUUUUGAUUUUUUUUAUGAUCACUUAAAUAAAUGAAUAUCCACGGUUAUUAGGGAGGGAUGGAGAGGGAGAGCGAGAUGGAGAGAUAGAGAGAGAGCACAUUUAAUAUUUGAUAGCUUCCCUUACUAAAUCACCUCUCUGAUGGAGCUGCAGUUUUGCAUGUUUAAAAUGAAUGAGUAUGUAAAUUAGCGACAUUUUCUUAAAUGCACCUGAAAUAUUUGCAUAAAAUGCUUUCCUAGGGCUGGUCAACUCUUUUUAUUUCUAGCAUAGUACACAUGUCUAACACCACAAAUUGCCAUAUGGUUUUCAAUGGUACAUGAGCUGUGAGUUGCCCUAUUAUUUUAAGAGUUCAUAAGUUGGGUUGACUGUGAGACUCUAAAUACAUGAUACAUGGUCUUGUACAAUUUAUAUUACUGUCCAUCGAAGUGUUUUAUACUCGUUAUUAAAGUUGCAGGUUAUUCCUUUGAAUGAUCUAAGAAAUAUAUUUGGAUUAGGGAAGCAUGAAGCACAAGGAAUCACCUCAGAUAUUGAAUCUCGAGCAUACAGAAAUAAUCUUAUAAAAUCCUUUAGUACUGAUUUGGCUGCUACUCCUAACAAAGCAUCAUUCCUCCAAAAUCUCUGUCAGGAGUUACAGUUUGAUCCUGAACUUGCUAGCAAGAUGCAUAAAGAUACCAAGUUGACACUUGUUUUUUGUAUUGCAUCAUUAAUUUUACAGCAUAGUUCUAUGUUAGCUCGAAAUUUGAUCUUGCUCCUGCUAGCAAGAUGUGUACCAUAUUAGCUACAGCUUGAAGGAUAUAAUCCUUUUGUUUCAAGACUGAUGGUUAAACAUUCCUCCAGUGUGAAAGUUAUUAUUUUCUAUUCAAAUAUCUUCGUUACAUUCCUUCGGUGUGAAAGUUAUUAGUUUCAGUUUGAAGGAUAUAAUUUUAACUAUAUGUAUUUGGCUAUCAAACAACUUUUCUGCUAUCCGAUUUUGUUUUUGCAAAAGUUGCUUCUGUUCUAUAUAGGUGUACAGUUUUCAUGCUAACUGGAAAGUACCAAAGUACCAAAGUUGUCUAUCCUAGCUGCACCAAACUACAUUUUCUUGUUUUAUUAAUAUGAGAUAUAUAAGAAAGUGCAGCGGGAAUGGUUUGUACUCAUGCUUGAUGAUAUUUGGCUUAGGCUCCUGGACUUCCUCAUGGCCACAGUGUAGAUGGGACACUUGUGGUUAUCUUCAUUUGUCAUUGGUGGUCAGAGAAACAAAACAAAGCUGGAGUGGAAGGUUGAAACAAAACAAAGUGUCUAGGACUAGGAGUUUCAAUACGUUGUUAAAAAUUGUGCCAAACAUUAAGGUUGAUUUCAAUUCCUUUGCAUAUGUGUUCAUCCUUCUAGCAUAAGAAAAAUAUGGUGCUUUGCUUGAAAAA